rnacentral:rRNA from 1 species
AUUGAACGCUGGCGGCAGGCCUAACACAUGCAAGUCGAACGAGUGGCGGACGGGUGAGUAAUGUCUGGGAAACUGCCUGAUGGAGGGGGAUAACUACUGGAAACGGUAGCUAAUACCGCAUACAAUCGGAUGUGCCCAGAUGGGCUUGGCUCGUAGGUGGGGUAAAGGCUCACCUAGGCGCCGAUCCCUAGCUGGUCUGAGAGGAUGACCAGCCAAACUGGAUCUGAGACACGGUUAAGACUCCUACGGGAGGCAGCAGUGGGUAAUGUGGCACAAUGGGCGCAAGCCUGAUGCAGCCAUGCCGCGUGUACGAAGCAGGCCUUCGGGCUGUAAAGUACUUUCAGCGGGGAGGCGUUACCCGAAGAAGAAGCACCGGCUAACUCCGUGCCAGCAGCCGCGGUAAUUC